UUAUUUUAUUAGUUGGACAACUAUUGUACUUGAAAAGGCACAUUAAAAAGGGCGAGUUGGACGAGUCAAGAGCGGUGACUCAACUCGGAAGAAAGGAAGAAAGACAGGGAUGGACGUAUUCUGCUCGUUACUGCGUCUAUGACAUCGACAUCGCGAGGAUCAAUAGCGUUCGGCGGCGGAUGGCGAGGACGUUUUUGUACUUGAUACUCUGCGGUGGAGUGUCGCUCGUCGGUUAAUUUGUGAGAAAAGGCGUUCUUCCCUGAAGAAACAUGUACAUAGAAUUGGAUCAUAAGAUUUUCUUUCGAGUUUGAGAAGCAGCAGCAUGCUUUGUUAAAAUUGAUGUACUCAUAUUAUGUGUAAGGUUGCACCCUAUGAAGGGCCUGCAUUAAGCAAAGGAUAUUUAUUUCCUGAAGGUAUUGAUUUCCUUGUCAACCAUUUCUUGCAUGACGUUCUGUGCAACGUGCAUGCACUGCCCGCACUAGGAAGCCUUCUAAGCGGAAGCUCAAGCACGCGUUCCUUCAUUUCACUGUUGUGUGGGUACCAAACUACCAAUGGCUAAAGGCUGACUCCACAAGGGUACAAGGAACACGGUCUUGAUUAUGGCCAAGAACCUGGUAGCUUGUGUGCUCAUUAUUAUAUAUGAAGUUGAGUUUGAGGCCCUCAAUGAGGAAUUCAAUCCGUUUGUUUGCUAUUGGUUUAGUUUGGAGAUUCGUAAACUUAUGAUGUGGAGUAUACGAUUGAUGGAUGCAGUACUAUUUACUCAUCAACUGUGCUUCUUUAGGUAUUGAGUUGAUUCUUGGAACUAGACUUCAGUUUUGUUGAUGUGAUCAUGUGAAUUAGAAGAUAUUGCUAACAGCCAAAAGGAGAAACCAUAAGAUAAUACUAUAUCAUAUAGUUCAUUUCAUGUAAUGUACUAAUGUGCCUAUAUCAUAUAAUGUACUAAUGAACUAAUGUGCCUAUAGUUCAUUUCAUGUAAUGUACUAAUGAACUAUAUCAUAUAGUUCAUUUCAUGUAAUGUACUAAUGUGUUCUUUCCUCCAUUUAAGUUGCCUCUGGUUGUUCAA